CAAGCUAUUAAGAGCAUAGGGUGAAUGCCUAGGCACCAGAAGGCGAAGAAGGACGUGAUAAGCUGCGAUAAGCUGCGGUUAGGCGCAAAUAGCCACUAUACCCGCAGAUUUCCGAAUGGGGAAACCCACCUGUGGUAAAUGCACAGGUACUGAUACAUGAAUCCAUAGUGUAUCAGAGCUAGACGUGGGGAACUGAAACAUCUAAGUACCCACAGGAAAAGAAAUCAACAGAGAUUCCGUAAGUAGUGGCGAGCGAACGCGGAAGAGCCCAAACCAAACUAGUUUACUAGAUUGGGGUUGUGGACUGGCAUAAUGAUUCUUUGAGCUUAGCAGAAUUAGACUGGAAAGUCUAGACCAUAGAGGGUAAAAGUCCCGUAAGCGAAAAGUAAGAAGACAGGCCAGUAUCCAGAGUACCACGAGGCACGUGAAACCUUGUGGGAAGCAGGGAGGACCACCUUCCAAGGCUAAAUACUAACUGGUGACCGAUAGUGAAGCAGUACCGUGAGGGAAAGGUGAAAAGAACCCCGGGAGGGGAGUGAAAAAGAACCUGAAACCCUAUGUUUACAAGCAGUUGUAGAGCGUUAAGGCUCAACAGCGUACUUUUUGUAGAACGGUCCGGCGAGUUAUUGUAUGUGGCAAGGUUAAGUACUAAUAAGGUACGGAGCCGAAGGGAAGCCGAGUCUUAAUAGGGCGUUAAGUCACAUGUAAUAGACCCGAAACCGGGUGACCUAUCCAUGGACAGGUUGAAGCGAGAGUAAAAUCUCGUGGAGGACCGAACCCGUAACCGUUGAAAAGGUUUGGGAUGAGCUGUGGAUAGCGGAGAAAUUCCAAUCGAACUCGGAGAUAGCUGGUUCUCCCCGAAAUAGCUUUAGGGCUAGCCUCAAGGGAGUCUAACGGAGGUAAAGCACUGAAUGGGCUAGGGGCCUUACCGGGUUACCGAACCCUAUCAAACUAAGAAUGCCGUAUAGAUGCUCCUUGGGAGUCAGACUAUGUGAGAUAAGUUUCAUAGUCGAGAGGGAAACAGCCCAGACCAUCAGCUAAGGUCCCAAAAUCACAGUUAAGUGGGAAAGGAUGUGGGUUUGCUAAGACAACUAGGAUGUUGGCUUAGAAGCAGCCACUCAUUCAAAGAGUGCGUAAUAGCUCACUAGUCGAGUGAACCUGCGCCGAAAAUGUCCGGGGCUCAAACUGUGUACCGAAGCUAUGGCUUUGUGUGUGUUCAAUGGUAUGUCUGUAUGCAAAAAAAGUGUAGGAUAGCUUCACGGAAAACGACAAAAGCAGCAGAAAGAAGUUUUCCGUAAAAUGCAUAAAGGCACAAACUGAAAUAUAGAUAUAGCAUUGAACACAUACAAGGGGUAGGGGAGCUUACUGUCGUAGGCUGAAGCAUGACCGGAAGGACAUGUGGACGAAACAGUAGUGAGAAUGCCGGAAUGAGUAGCGAGAGUAAAGUGAGAAUCUUUACCGUCGAAAGCCUAAGGUUUCCUGGGGAAGGUUCGUCCGCCCAGGGUAAGUCGGGACCUAAGCUGAGGCCGAGAGGCGUAAGCGAUGGACAACAGGUUGAAAUUCCUGUACUACCGCUGUUCGUUAUAAGAGAAGUGGGGACGCAGGGGGAUAAGUUAAGCGAGCGACUGGAAGAGCUCGUCCAAGGGAAGUAGAUAGACUGGUAGGCAAAUCCGCCGGUUGUUUCGAAGGCCUGAUGGGGAGGGAAAAUUAUAGUACCGAAGUAACUGAUUCCGCACUGACGAGAAAAGCCACUAUCAAGAGCAGAGGUACCCGUACCGCAAACCGACACAGGUAGGUGAGGAGAGAAUCCUAAGACGAACGGGAGAAGCGUUGUUAAGGAACUCGGCAAAUUAACCCCGUAAGUUCGCGAGAAGGGGUGCCUGAGAAAUCAGGCCGCAGUGAAUAGGCCCAAGCAACUGUUUAUCAAAAACACAGGUCUCUGCUAAAUCGGAAGAUGAAGUAUAGGGGCUGACGCCUGCCCGGUGCUGGAAGGUUACGGGAAUCUGUUAGCGUAAGCGAAGCAGUGAACUUAAGCCCCAGUAAACGGCGGCCGUAACUAUAACGGUCCUAAGGUAGCGAAAUUCCUUGUCAGGUAAGUUCUGACCCGCACGAAUGGCGUAAUGAUUUGGGCACUGUCUCAACAACGUACCCGGCGAAAUUGUAGUACUUGUGAAGAUGCAAGUUACCCGCGACAAGACGGAAAGACCCCAUGGAGCUUUACUGUAGCCUGAUACUGGGUUUCGGUAUUCUUUGUACAGGAUAGGUGGGAGGCAUAGAAGUAUGGACGCUAGUUCAUAUGGAGCCGAUGUUGGGAUACCACUCUAAGAAUGCUGGGGCUCUAACCAGAGACCGUGAUCCGGUCUUGGGACAAUGUCAGGUGGGCAGUUUGACUGGGGCGGUCGCCUCCGAAAGAGUAACGGAGGCGUCCAAAGGUUACCUCAGCGCGGUUGGAAAUCGCGCAUCGAGUGCAAAGGCAUAAGGUAGCCUGACUGCGAGACAAACAAGUCGAGCAGGUACGAAAGUAGGGCUUAGUGAUCCGGCGGUAUGAAAGUGGAAUUGCCGUCGCUCAACGGAUAAAAGCUACCCUGGGGAUAACAGGCUGAUCUCCCCCAAGAGUCCACAUCGACGGGGAGGUUUGGCACCUCGAUGUCGGCUCAUCGCAUCCUGGAGCUGAAGUAGGUUCCAAGGGUUUGGCUGUUCGCCAAUUAAAGCGGUACGCGAGCUGGGUUCAGAACGUCGUGAGACAGUUCGGUCCCUAUCUGUCGCGGGCGCAGGAUAUUUGAAGGGAUCUGUCCUUAGUACGAGAGGACCGGGAUGGACAAACCUCUGGUGCACCAGUUGUCACGCCAGUGGCACAGCUGGGUAGCUAAGUUUGGAAGGGAUAAACGCUGAAGGCAUCUAAGCGUGAAACCCACCUUAAGAUGAGAUAUCCCACCUUUAUGGGUAAGACCCCAUGUAGACUACAUGGUUGAUAGGUCAGAGGUGUAAGUGCAGUAAUGUAUUUAGCUGACUGAUACUAAUAGGUCGAGGGCUUGAUCA
rnacentral:rRNA from 1 species